GCCUGCUAGCUCUGUUGGUAGAGCAUGAGACUCUUAAUCUCAAGGUUGUGGGUUUGAGUCUCACAAGGGGCA